UCUGUGGAUACAACCUGCAAAAUAACUAUUUUUGUUGGUGUACAGGAUAUUGUCUCUAAUCUCUACCUAUUGCAUGUUGAAUUUGCAGGUAAAAGAAACUCACAAUUAGUGUUGCUUUCUAAUUGGACAGGCUGAUUUCACUGAAGGAUGAUUGACUUAGACUUGAUGUUCCUUUAUUUUGGGGGUGGGCAGUGUGUAUGUGUGAGUGCUUUUGCAAAAUAGCCAUAAUCUAUGGCUUUGUGCGCUAGUUGAGUGUCUGCUUGUAUUAUUAUACACUUUUGCUUGAUCGCUAUGCAUUUUCAGUGUUCUUUCUUCGACCUUGCCAUGGUCAUUCAGGGUAACUGGUGAUCAUUUAUUUAUUUAUUUUUACUAUUUGUCUACCAUCUUCCAGACAACUGCACCAACUGAGAGUAGGUCCCUGGUUCUACGUGGACUGCCAGUCAUCCUGGGCGAUGAUCCUGGGGCGUUUUUUAAGACCAGCUUCGAUGCCACUGACGAAGUAGCUGAAACGUCAGUGGGAAUUGUGUCCCUGGAUAGCAGAUUUGACGUUCCUCACCAUCUUCAGCCACAACCUCCACUAUCCUCGGCAGUGGGCAUCAUUUUGGAAGGGACUGUGGUUAUGAAUGACCUUGAAAAUCUGCCUCAAGCAUUUUAUCUCCUCUUUGGUCUCAUCUAUGCCCCGCAUCUGGAUUAUCCCAGUCUGUCUCUCUUUCGAGUUCCAUAUAGGUCCUGAGACACCAGUGAUGAUAGCCUCUUCUGCUUCUUGGACCUGCCUGAUCCAUCCUGAUGCAUUAUGUCUGGCUGGAGUCUCAUCACAUUACUCCUGUGGAAGAUGGUCUCAAAUGGACAGUUGGAAGUCUCCCUUGGAAGAUGGCUCUGGACACUUACAGUUUUGCUAUUAGGGCUGAGGACUACAAUUGACAUGAUGACUUUAGGACUACAAUUGGCAUGAACUGUUUUGCACUCAAGUUUCCAUCAAUGAACAGUUGAUAACUUCAGCAAAACAGACUUUAUGCUAAAACUAUAAUGAAUUUCCUGGUUACACAGCUAUACUUUGUGACUAGGACACAGUUCUAGAAGCAAGUUAUUUGAAAUCAUGCUAUAUCUUAUCACCCAAAUGAGGAAGGGUUCCCUUUUGAGUCUAGUUCCUCUCAAGGUUCCUCAUGUCAUCUGAGGGAGUUUUUCCUUGCCACCAUCUCCACAAGCUUGCUUAUCAGGAAUAAAUUAGGGAUAAAAUUAGCUCAUGUUUAGUCUUCAAUUUUCUGUAAAGCUGCAUUGCAACAAUAUUUGUUGUUAAAAAAGCUAUACAAAUAAACUUGACUUGAAACCUCCUGGUAAACGGCUGCCUUUCCUGAAGACAUCUAUGCAUGGUGACUCUUGAUGGACUGACACCAGCCUUAGCCCACUCUUUGUGAAGCUCUCUCAAGUUCUUGAAUUGAAUUUUCUUGACAAUCCUCUCAUGGCUGUGGUCAUCGCUUGUGCACCUUUUUCAGCCAGCCUUUUCAUCAAUGACCUUUUGUGGCUUACCCUCCUUGUGGAAGGUGUUGAUGAUCGUCUUCUGGACAACUGUCAAGUCAGCAGUCUUCUCCAUGAUUGAAGCUGUGU